rnacentral:rRNA from 1 species
GGGUUUGCUUAACACAUGCAAGUCGAACGCAACCUUCGGGUUGAGUGGCGGACGGGUGAGUAACGCGUGAGUAUCUACCUGGGGGUCGGGGACAACCACUGGAAACGGUGGCUAAUACCGGAUAAGCCUCCGGGUAAUAGAUUUAUUGCCCCAAGAGGAGCUCGCGUAUGAUUAGCUAGUUGAUAGGUCAAAAGCCUUCCAAGGCAGCGAUCAGUAGCUGGUCUGAGAGGACGAUCAGCCCCACUGGGACUGAGACACGGCCCAGCCUCCUACGGGAGGCAACAGUGGGGAAUUUUCCGCAAUGGGCGAAAGCCUGACGGAGCAAGACCGCGUGAGGGAGGAAGGCUCUUGGGUUGUAAACCUCUUUUCUCAGGGAAGAAGCUCUGACGGUACCUGAGGAAUCAGCCUCGGCUAACUCCGUGCCAGCAUCCGCGGUAAUACGGAGGAGGCAAGCGUUAUCCGGAAUUAUUGGGCGUAAAGCGUCCGCAGGUGGCGAUUCAAGUCUGCUGUCAAAGCACGGGGCUUAACUCCGUUAAGGCAGUGGAAACUGAAUAGCUAGAGUGCCGUAGGGGUAGAGGGAAUUCCCGGUGUAGCGGUGAAAUGCGUAGAGAUCGGGAAGAACAUCGGUGGCGAAAGCGCUCUUCUGGGCGGCAACUGACACUCAGGGACGAAAGCUAGGGGAGCGAAUGGGAUUAGAUACCCCAGUAGUCCUAGCUGUAAACGAUG